UGCAAGUCGAACGAGAAGGGAAGGACUUCGGUCCGACCUGGAGAGUGGCGAACGGGUGAGUAACACGUGAGUGACCUGCCCCGAGGUGGGGGACAACCGUGGGAAACCACGGCUAAUACCCCGUAGUCCUGUGCGCACUGGUCGCGUACAGGUAUAGCUCCGGCGCCUUGGGAGGGGCUCGCGGUCGAUUAGCUAGUUGGUGGGGUAACGGCCUACCAAGGCGACGAUCGAUAGCUGGUCUGAGAGGACGAUCAGCCACACUGGGACUGAGAUACGGCCCAGACUCCUACGGGGGGCAGCAGCAAGGAAUAUUGGACAAUGGGCGCAAGCCUGAUCCAGCAACGCCGCGUGGAGGAAGAAGGCUUCGGUUGUAAACUCCUUUUGUGAGGGAUGAGACAAGGACAGUACCUCACGAAUAAGUCACGGCUAACUAGGUGCCAGCAGCCGCGGUAACACCUAGGUGACAAGCGUUAUCCGGAUUUACUGGGCGUAAAGGGCUCGCAGACGGCAGUUCAAGUCCGGCGUGAAAUCUCCUGGCUUAACCAGGAGGGGUCGUCGGAUACUGUUCUGCUAGAGGCAGUGAGAGGGGUGCGGAAUUCUCGGUGGAGUGGUGGAAUACGUAGAUAUCGAGAGGAACACCAGUGGCGAAAAGCGGCGCCCUGGCACUGACCUGACGUUCAUGAGCGAAAGCGUGGGGAGCGAACGGGGAUUAGAUACCCCGGUAGUCCACGCUGUAAACGAUGAGUACUAGGUGUAGGCGACAACCGUGGUCUGUGCCGAAGCUAACGCGAUAAGUACUCCGCCUGGGGACUACGGCCGCAAGGCUAAAACUCAAAGGAAUUGACGGGGACCCGCACAAGCAGCGGAGCGUGUUGUUUAAUUCGAUGUAACGCGAAGAACCUUACCUGGGUUUGACAUGUGCGUAGUAGUG
rnacentral:rRNA from 1 species